UCGAGAAUAAUUCACAAUGGGGGCAACCCUGAUGGUGCAACGCCGCGUGGAGGAUGACGGUCUUCGGAUUGUAAACUCCUGUCAUCGGGGAGUAAGACCUGGCUGUUAAUAGCAGACAGGGUUGAUAGUACCCGAAGAGGAAGGGACGGCUAACUUCGUGCCAGCAGCCGCGGUAAUACGAAGGUCCCGAGCGUUGUUCGGAAUCACUGGGCGUAAAGGGAGCGUAGGCUGCGUAGUAAGUCAGAUGUGAAAUCCCGGGGCUCAACCCCGGAACUGCAUCCGAUACUGCUAUGCUAGAGGAUUGGAGAGGUAGCUGGAAUUCUUGGUGUAGCAGUGAAAUGCGUGGAGAUCAAGAGGAACACUCGUGGCGAAAGCGAGCUACUGGACAAUAUCUGACGCUGAGGCUCGAAGGCCAGGGUAGCGAAAG
rnacentral:rRNA from 1 species